UGCUUUGGUGGCACAUGUUCAUUUUUAUUCGGCGUCGGUGUUUUCAGCUUUUUUCAGCGUUUUUGGAAGUUAAAUGGAGAAGUACAAGUGAGAUUUACGUUAUUCCUUAUCGGAUGAAGAAAGAACCUACCUACGACGAAAGAUUAAAUCUUUCCAUCCGCGAUUACAUAAUCGCUAGUGGCGUGGUUCCCAUCAACGAGAUUUUCUUACAAUUGGGAGACGAUUUCUUCAUCGUCCGGGUUCCGAUCGGAAUCCCCAGAACUCGAAAGACCCCCCAUCUUUCCCACUUAUACGACAGCAGUCGUAUGUAAGUGUUUCACAAUUGGAAGCAAUCCUUUUGUGAGGGGGUCGGCCAUACAUAUGGUUUUAUAUUUUUUCGACAUCGAAAAAAUAGAGUUUUCUGGCUCGUCCGGCUAUGGAUGAGGCGCCCGGGAUACUGGGACAUAAUGAACAAUUUUUUAUGGCUGUUGGAAUGCAUUUACUCCAUCCUAUGGGGUCGAUAGUCCCAACACAAAGUUUGAUGUGUCAUGACAUUUUGGCAAGUCAGAUUAAUACCUUUUUGAAAUCCGGUGUGUCCGAAGAUUGUCUCAGUGACCUUUUGCGUUGAUAUCCUGUGCCGAAGAAUUGCCCGCUCAAUAACUCUCCUAAAUUGAAUGUGCAGAUGAAAUCUGCCAUCAACAAAGGUGGAAAGAAAAGGGAUGAGAGACUGACUGCAACAAGGGGUGCUUUGAUGGUGGUUGGUAGGGCGCUCUUGACCUUACUUUUGAAACCGGUUAAGGAUGAGUAGUACUUACUUCUCAUCGAAAUGUUGAGUAAUGCAAUAUUUGUUUUAAGCAAAAUACACCAUUUAGGUUCAGUAUAUAGAAGUUCAGCCGCGUUAAGCCUUUCGCUGGUCUCAAAUGAAAUGCAGCCUUGUAUGAAGGAAGUGCUCGUUGAUGCUUCUUUGCACUCUUGUUUAUAUGGAGAAGAUUUGGCUGAUAGGCUCAAAUCAAUCAGAUUAGCUGCAGAUUAGUGGCCGAGUUAAAGUCAGGUGCAUCCGGAACAAGGCUUUUAUAGCAUACAAAUUUAAACUCGACCGUCCCACUUCGUUCCCGGAAGUUGCAAGGCUGAAGUGGGUGAAAGUCAUUGUACCCUCAAAAGAGGGAAUACAGGAAGGUUCGAGAGGAAAGGGGGUGGAGUUGUGUCCCCAGGAAAAAAUAAACUCGACAUGCCUCAACAUCGUCUGCGUUUUGUAAAGGUGUUUCAAUUGAUAUGAUUGGAAAAACGGCAGAUUGGUGAGAAUGCUCUAAAUGUUUUCCCCUUUUUUAUAAUAGACCUAUUUGUACAGCAAGUGCAGGCCUUUUUGUUAAUGCCACAUUUGGGACAUAGAAUUUUUCAGAAGGUUUGUUUUCUCGGAUAGCCAUUUAUUUUGUAUUUGUACUCGAGGCUUUCAUAAACUUCCUGGAUUUCCUUAUAUAGCCGAAUAAAAUCGUUUUAUAACAAAUUUGCUGAGUUGCCUUUGAAAGUCUACGUAUAUUGAUUUCAUAGAAGAGGUGUAACAUAUAAUUCAAUGAUCAAACGAACUUA